ACAGUUCGGUCCCUAUCUGCCGUGGGCGCUGGAGAACUGAGGGGGGCUGCUCCUAGUACGAGAGGACCGGAGUGGACGCAUCACUGGUGUUCGGGUUGUCAUGCCAAUGGCACUGCCCGGUAGCUAAAUGCGGAAGAGAUAAGUGCUGAAAGCAUCUAAGCACGAAACUUGCCCCGAGAUGAGUUCUCCCUGACUCCUUGAGAGUCCUGAAGGAACGUUGAAGACGACGACGUUGAUAGGCCGGGUGUGUAAGCGCAGCGAUGCGUUGAGCUAACCGGUACUAAUGAACCGUGAGGCUUAACCUUACAACGCCGAAGGUGUUU
rnacentral:rRNA from 1 species